rnacentral:rRNA from 1 species
GAUGAACGCUGGUGGCGUGCCUAAUACAUGCAAGUCGAGCGAAUGGAUUAAGAGCUUGCUCUUAUGAAGUUAGCGGCGGACGGGUGAGUAACACGUGGGUAACCUGCCCAUAAGACUGGGAUAACUCAGGGAAAACGGGGCUAAUACCGGAUAACAUUUUGAACCGCAUGGUUCGAAAUUGAAAGGCGGCUUCGGCUGUCACUUAUGGAUGGACCCGCGUCGCAUUAGCUAGUUGGUGACGUAACGGCCCACCAAGGCAACGAUGCGUAGCCGACCUGAGAGGGUGAUCGGCCACACUGGGACUGAGACACGGCCCAGACUCCUACGGGAGGCAGCAGUAGGGAAUCUUCCGCAAUGGACGAAAGUCCGACGGAGCAACGCCGCGUGAGUGAUGAAGGCUUUCGGGUCGUAAAACUCUGUUGUUAGGGAAGAACAAGUGCUAGUUGAAUAAGCUGGCACCUUGACGGUACCUAACCAGAAAGCCACGGCUAACUACGUGCCAGCAGCCGCAGUAA